GUGGGGGCACAGACACAUGGGGAUUGGGUGUCUGAGUGAGGGUGGAGGGACACAUCAGGACAGAGACCGAUGGGCCUGACUGAAUGGGCGCGGCUAGGGGUGAGCCAGGAGCUGUCUGGGCAAAGCUCCCGAACACUCCCCCCCACCCCAAACAACAAAAAAAUUGUUUCAUAUUUUUCCCACUCACCAACAACUCUCCAAGUUCACAGCCAGGCUCCUUUCCAGCAAUUACUUCCCUCGCCUUCAGGUCCUCCCUGACUCCCUCAGCAUUUGCACUGUUUCUGAGGGGCACAGACAACAGUUCCGUAGUGUAGUUUAAAUUAAUUAUUACUCAGAGCUCUGUAUUAAUAUGUCUUGUAAGGAAUUUGUCAAAAAAAAUUCCUGCAUCUUUUUUGUCGUCGGUAUUGGCACAGACAGAGUUGCUGAGGGGUAUUUAAAUGACCAAAACAAUGAAAACUGGUGUGAUUAUAUUGUGUUAUUUUUGACAAAUAAACUAUGCAGAAUUUUAAAAUAUUGUGUGCAGAAUUUUUAAUUUUUUGGCCCAGAAUUCCAACAGGAGUAAUAUAUUUGACUAAACAGGAUUAUCACCCACAGUCAUUGUUUUGUAGACUUGAUGUAGCACACAGUGCAUUUUAAUCUGUUGCAGGAGCCCAAACGGUAUCAUGACGAACCAAGAGAUCAUCUGGGUUCAUGGAAACUAGGGUUUAGGAAAUGCUAAUGGCUGCAAAGGUGCCAGGUUGACUGUCUUGGAAAGUGAAGUCCAUUUUAGGUACCAAACAGGUAGAGUUAAAGAUUAUGCCAGAGAGAAGCUGGAAAAGUCAGCACAAAGAACUGAUGGGAGUGAUCUAUUCCCCCAAUGGGAAAUAACAGAACUAUUAUGGCAUGGAUAGUAUGUUCAACAAAUGUAGGGUCAGCAGGCACCAAGCAGUCCCACACCCCAAGCCUGACCCUGGAGUUCCCAUCACAGGCUGCCUGAC